CACGUAGGGCGCAAGCGUUGUCCGGAAUUAUUGGGCGUAAAGAGCUCGUAGGUGGUUUGUUACGUCUGCUGUGAAAACCUAGGGCUUAACCCUGGGCUUGCAGUGGAUACGGGCAGACUAGAGGUAGGUAGGGGAGAAUGGAAUUCCUGGUGUAGCGGUGAAAUGCGCAGAUAUCAGGAGGAACACCGGUGGCGAAGGCGGGUCUCUGGGCAACAACUGACGCUGAGGAGCGAAAGCGUGGGGAGCGAACAGG
rnacentral:rRNA from 1 species